CUUGGGACAAAUCUUCGAUUCUGUGUCCAAAAAACUCAACAGUCAGUCUGACGAAUUGGAAAAAGAUGCAAGGCAACAGCUCCGUGAGCAGAUGCUGAACAUAAUGAUAACCACAGUACAAAAAGUUCCCCCCAGCACUCCAGAAGGAGUUCAGAUUAUAGCCACGGGACUUAAUGCUCUCAUCCAGAAAGGCUCUGAACUCAGCUCCUCAGCUCAGGAAGAGACUUCAUUAUUUUUCGCAAACCUCAGCUCAUCUCUCCUCCACAUGGCUGUGGACAACAGUGAAAAAGUGCACCUUGCAGCCAGCAGCCUCGUGGAAGGAGCG